CUGAUCAGCCUAUUCUUCAUUUCUCAAGCAGCAGCAUCCAUUAAACCACUAUGAAUUGAUCCAUGAUUCAUCUCCCAGAUUCAUCACACAUCAAGGAAGUAUCCAAUCAGGGCCGAGCAUUAUCAGCUCCAUGAGAUGGUGGGGAAGGGUGCCGGCGCCACGGUUCAUCGGGUAAUUUGUAUUCCGCUUGAUGAGGAUGUGGCCAUCGAGAUACUUGAUUUUGAGAGGAAUUUGGUAAUUUUGGGGUUUUCAGGGAAUUGAAUGCAAAAAGAAGCAAAAAGAAGA